AUCCAAAAUCAGCCAGAAGAGCGAAUCACGUGACAUUUGUGUUGCGGGUGAACUCGUGUUCACUCACAAACUCCAACACAUUCAGUUUGUUGUAGGCAGUCGUUGGAGGACAAAGAAGGACGAAGGACGAACACAAUUAAAGGAAGGAUGCUUGGGAGCCAGAGACAGACUUAUAUUCCCAUGGAAAUGAGAAGUGGUGCCAGUCCUUGAGUAGGGAGCCAAACACAAUGCAAGUCCUUCUGUAUGUUCUCUGCCUUCAAUCUUGUAGACCUCUACUGCUAUUGUCUUCAGUAUCUUCUGUUGUUUCGACGUUGACAUUGUUUAGAGAGACUGGCAAAAAAUGACUGAUGGAUAAAACUACAACAGCAGUUACGAGGCUCACAGAACUACCAGUAGAUACUGGAAAUGUGUGGCAGGAUGAAGAGGUUCACCAGAGCAUUGAAUAACUUCCAGCUGGAGCUUGUCUACCACUUUCUGGAGUUCAUUUGAACCAUCUGUAUAGCUAUAGUCAACACCAUAUUUCCGGUAUCAGAAUUUUUUCAAGUUACACAUUGCAGGAGUAGAAUGUCUUGAAAGAUUGAGUGUAGUCGCAAAUGGCAAGGCAGGCUGGUGAGUCUGUGGUUGGUCAUCUACACCAAGAAAUGAGGAGACUUCUUUGUUUGUUCUGAUGUCUGCCAUCUCUUUAGUCUACUGUCCUGAGAACCACCAUGAUGACCUAGUUGUCAGAUUGGGAACCAGAACAUACCCUAUUGAAAAUAUAAGACAUUCUCAUUCUUCAAGUCUGUCGUAGGGUUCACGGAAGUCGUAGCCAAGACAAUACAGAUAAUGCAAACAAAGACCAAACUGAUGGAUGAAGUAUCUGCUAAUUCAUUUGUGUCCCUUGCUUGGAGCUGCUUCCCAUGGAAUUUUUUCACAGUCAUUGACUGUCGACGUGGCAUGAAAAUGGAAUGCACGGAUCAAACAAAGUUUUUUGCCAAUGGAAGAGAUGAGAAUACCAGUGUGAGUAAAGUGUUGAAUUUUCCACAAAAAAAAACACUCUGAGCAUUUUUAUCUCUGGUCAGAAAUAAAAUCAGAGAAAUAAUAGUACUAACUUAUCAACGAUCUAUUUACUGUCUGUAAGUGAUAUUAAGUGAUCAGUGACUGAAUGCUACCAUGGAUCUACUGGCAAGCUGAAGAUACAAAGAUAAAGAUGAUUUAUUAAACUUACUGAACAUGACAUUGAAGAAUACUCAGUUGUGAUAGUGAAAUAGACAUUAAAAAUACUGAGAUCAAGUGCAGAUUUAAGGGUUCAUGAUUGACAUUAACACUUACUGAAUGUAACAUUAAAGGAUGUUAAAGGAUGACAGUGAAAUAGACAUUAAAUCUUAAAGAUCAAGUUCAGAAAUGGUUGUUUAAGGAAAGAUACUGAAAAGAUCAACACCAGCGUGUUAACAAUAAUGUUAGUUUAUUUUAUAGCAUUUCAGACCUGAUCCUCAAUACAAAUUUCGAUGUUGUAGGUA